CCUACGGGAGGCAGCAGUGAGGAAUAUUGGUCAAUGGCCGUAAGCCUGAACCAGCCAAGUCGCGUGAGGGAUGAAGGUUCUAUGGAUCGUAAACCUCUUUUAUCAGGGAACAAAGUGCGUGACGUGUCCCGCUUUGCAUGUACCUUAUGAAUAAGCAUCGGCUAACUCCGUGCCAGCAGCCGCGGUCAUACGGAGGGACCGAGCGUUAUCCGGGUUUGUUGGGUUUAAAGGGUGCGUAGGCGGCCUUUUAAGUCAGCGGGGAAAAUCUGUGGCUCAACCAUAGCAUUGCCGUUGAACUUGGGGGUAUUGAGUGAGGGUGAGGCAGGCGGAAUGCGUGGUGUAGCGGUGAAAUGCAUAGAUAUCACGCAGAACCCCGAUUGCGAAGGCAGCCUGCCGAGCCAUGACUGACGCUGAUGCACGAAAGCGUGGGGAUCGAACAGGAUUAGAUACCCCAGUAGUC
rnacentral:rRNA from 1 species